GUUGGUAGACUUGACGGAAACGGGAAGAAGUGGAACCAUGAAUAACAUAGGACCUUCUGACUGCUAAUUUGAACUCCACAAGCUUCUUCCUGUUGAUAUGGCACCCUCAGCGAAACUGCGGAUAAUUUUUGGGGAGGAUGAUGUCCACAAACUACUUUUACCUGCAGGAAUCCCAAGCACACUUCAGGACCUCA